UCCAAACUGGAAGCAGAGUAACUGUUGGAAUGAAUAUUUAAUGACUGCUUCAAGAGGUUAGCACAGGGAGGGUGGAGAACAAAGUCUGCCCUUCAAGGACUGCUCUUGUGUAAGGCUUCAGAGGAGAUAUAAUUCUGCCAGUACUUCAUGAAGGAUGAAGUUCUCCAAUCACAGUGUGAAGUCAAGGAUCAACAAAUUUAAGAUAUGGGCAAAUUAUGAUGCUUCUUCAGAACCCAUCUCUUCAGGCAUCACUUUGUAAAGCCCAGAAGGCAUUCUCCGGGGUGUGACUGUUGAGUCUACUCUGAGCCCCAGCUCAAGCAAUAUGCUGCUCUACUGUGUUACAAUAAACACUUUAAUGCUUUAUAUAAUCCUUUAUAUGAAUAAUAUGUAAUCUUGAUCCUCAGUGCUUCACCAAGAAAUCAUGACU